CAAUAGCGUAUAUUAAAGUUGUUGCAGUUAAAAAGCUCGUAGUUGGAUUUCUGUGAGAGUGCCGGUGUCGGCUGAUGCUUGUACGCAGGCGCUCUUACAUCCUUCUGUUAACUGAUCUUGGCAUUUUAUUGCUGGUUCAGGGCUCAGAUAUUUUACCUUGAGAAAAUUAGAGUGUUUCAGGCAGGCUUAUGCCGGAAUACAUUAGCAUGGAAUAAUGGAACAGGACCUGUGCGUCUUUCGGGGCGCCGGUCUCCGUUAUUGGUUUCGGGGACUAAAGUAAUGAUUAAUAGGGAUAGUUGGGGGCAUUAGUAUUUAAUAGUCAGAGGUGAAAUUCUCGGAUUUGUUAAAGACUAACUUAUGCGAAAGCAUUUGCCAAGGAUGUUUUCAUUA
rnacentral:rRNA from 1 species